AUUCCUAUAAAUUCAGGUAUAAAUGUUUCAGUCAUUUAGAAGAGGUAGUUGGUUUCUGCGUCAUUGGGGACCUACAUGAACAGUAGACACCAGGAUGAUGGUUAAUUCAACACUGAGUACAGGAAAGCAUCUAGUUAAUGAAUUCACUGUGUACUUCUGAGGCAGGUGGAAGGUUCUAUUAUCUUUUAAAUGGCAUUUUUGGACGCAACAUGUCAAGGAAAAAGAGGAAAACAAAUACUCCCUGGGAUUUGUUCGAGGAAUUGUGGAAGUGGUCAGAUGAAGCUAAUGUUGUUGACUUCCCAUUCAGCAGGCAGCCAACUGAUGAUUCUCCAGCACGUGACUGUGAGGAGGGAAAGCUGUCCCCUGUCACGGCAGCAUAGUGGCGCGUUUGACAUCUCCUGUUAAAGACAGAAUGGACUUCAAAGCAUGGGAGCAAAAUUCUGCAUUCAUCAGAGCCUACUGACAAGAUUUCAUCCCAGCUAUUAACCUCUCAGCACUCGGAGCCUGGCUCACAAUGAGAGCAAGAUAAGGCUGCCCUGGAGCUACAAGCCAUUAACUGAAACACAUAUGCAGCAUUAUCAAACUGAGCAAAGCCUGAAAUCAAAAGGGACUCCUAGGCCACUGGCAAUCACUUAUCCCUUUUGCAGCAUAAGGGCAUCCAGGAAGAAUUACACAGUUCAUGACUGAAGAAAAUCCAGCUGCUUUUACUUCUAGCUGCAACAGAUUGGUACAUAACGUGAUUUUCCUCGCUUCUCCUUUCAUGGUACUAGUUUUGUUUUUAAGGGGAAUAUUUAUGAAAACAUCAUCCUACAAUAGCCUAAUAAAGCAAUGCCUGCAAAGUGAACAUAAGCAUCGCUAAAGGUUUGCAGCCUUCCGGGACUCUGGUGUAAACUCUAAAUCCAGAACCAGCAACUCUGGCAUUCAGAUGACAUCGGUGACCUCACUAUGUUUUGGCUAAGAAAUGCCAUGGAAGUUCUCUCCUCAGAUGGUACCUGACCCUAAAAAUUCAGGACUACCACAACUUGAAGCAGAGCACUCAGAUUACUGCUUACGUGUGCUGUAGAGCUGGGUACUCUCUAUAGAGCUUACACUUUGUACUUGACAUUUAGCUGCAGCAAAACUCUUCUGGCUUUCAGAGCCCUACAACUGUCUAAAUUAUGGCUUGAAAUAAUAAUACUUCACCUUAGCUCAGAGCAUUGUAUAUAUCUGUGGUAUUUCACUUUGUAGGCCGGGUCCUGCGACUUAAACGAUCUGAUGCUGCCUUACGACCUGCGGCUAGCAAGCACUUGACUGUCAAGUGAAAGUUUAUCAUAAAACAGCCAAAAUAUCCUUGCAGACAUAGUACAAAAACAACAGUAAGUACCAGCCUGCACUGUUCUGUAUAUGGGAGCAUAACCCAGUGACAGAAGCAGCUGUAGAAGGUAGAAGGGCAGUUUGCCAACGAUGUGUUAGAAAGCGGUGUGAGAAGCACCGGCACGUUUGAGCAUUGAGAAUUAAAAGGUACUGAUGUCCAACUUGCUCUUCCAACAAUUACAAAGGCAAGGUUGGGGAUUUUACAUAAGGCAGAGCUGAAGACUAAUGAAGUUCCUGCGUAAACCUUAAGAUGCCACACGGGCAGUUCUUCAUCUAAAAUAUUUUUAGAUGUCUUUGCUAAGGACCUUUGAUUUGUAGCUUUCAAAAAGAACUUCCAAAACAGGCGUCUCAAGCCUCAGAUCCCCAUUAUCAAGUCCCCAUUCUGCCCGCUUGUCUGCAGCUCUGAAUAAAGCUCAAAGCACUCGCUGCACCACCACAGACCGCUGUCAGUACACACACACACCAAGCAUUUACCCAUUCUUAGGGUAUCCUUGGCAUGGGACUAGAGCAUUCAUUAAGUGUUUACAGUGUGAAAUUAAGGGCAACUUCUUAUUCACCUUCUGGUAUUUCUGGUUCUAUACUAUUUUCCAUUUAAAUCAGGUUUUAUUAUUCCUUGGCACUAAGCCCCCAACCCCACAUCUAUGUGCAAGACUUUCAAAUGCGUGCAGGCCUUUAUUAAUUUAAACCCCAUUCACAAGUCAUGCAGAUGCCUAAGGACUUUUCCAUACUGGUCUAUCCAGAGCAAUAUCAUGUCCUGUACUGUGCAGGUGUAAGGCUCUUAGAUCUCAUCAACGAGAUUAUUGACUAAUUCUCAGAGGUGCUUAAGCAGAUGCAUAUCUAUUCGUCUUGAAUAGGGCUAGUCAGGCGAUUAGAGCUCCACUCAUGCGUGCUGGGGAUGGCUUUGCUGCAUUUGCCAAGAUUACACCCUGAUCUACAGCACAGUUGGAAAGCAAAUGCAUUUCCCCAAAUACCGACACUCUGUUCAUAAAGACAUCCUGUUUCGCGUAAUAAAACAACUCAAUCCUUUUCUCCUGCAAGGGGGAGAAGAAAAGGGGAAUGACGCUCAAUUUAGUUUUGUAAACCACCCCCCUCCAUGCACACACACACUCACUCACUCUUGCUUUUCCAGCCUUUUCCUGUUCCCCAUUGGGAACAUACCACUGACAGCUAUUUCAGUCCUUGGCACCAGAAAAACAGUCGCCUUGGAAAAGAGAUCUUUCCUCUUGCCUGUGCUCUAUCAUUCCUCCCCUAUCUGCCAGCUCAUUAGGAAACAUGUCCUUGCUGUAUGUCUACAACAUCUCACUCCAACCACCGGCUCUUUUGAGCCCUUAACCACAGGCUGAACUCAAAUGGAAACAUCCUUAUUAGACCACUGGACUUUAUUAUUCUAAGGGCCCAGAUGAAAACCAGCUGCUAUUUUUCUUUGGAUCAUGCCUAAAAUGCCUUUCAUUUGAUACGCCUUACAAAGCUACCACCAUACAUUUCAAUUCAAGUAAGGUCUCACAGGCUUAAGAUCCCUUUCCAUGAGCCAUCACCCACAGUUUUCACAAUGAAGUAUUGGCGUGUUCCUUCUUGUACUAAAAUUUCUCCACCCUUCCCUAUUCCUGCCUGCGAGUAUGCACUUACACAAGUGUGCUGACCCAGACUUUGUCGCAACAACUCUUCCAUUCUUAGCCUGCACCGACAGUGUUUUAAGUUUUAU